rnacentral:lncRNA from 1 species
AUUUCAUUCUGCAUUGAGAAUAUUCCUUUGAAUUGCCUGUUUCUCUGCCUUGGACUCAGCAAAAAUUUCUGAUGACUUACUUCUCUAGCCAUCUUUGUCUCUCUACACUUUCAUUGGGUGAAAUUUGGAUUAAGAGUAGUGUAUCAGUACAGUGAGUUAUACAAGAAAUUUGAAGAUGUAAUAGUACCAUUUUGUUAGUGGAGGGAUUUUAUUUGAAACUUGCUGGAGAAUAGGCUAUGUAAGAUACAUACCUAUGUAACACUACUGUCAUAUAAAAUAUAUCAUUGUGUGUCU